rnacentral:rRNA from 1 species
CAAUAGCGUAUAUUUAAGUUGUUGCAGUUAAAAAGCUCGUAGUUGGAUUUCGGUUGAGAACGGCCGGUCCGCCGUUUGGUGUGCACUGGCUGGUUUCAACUUCCUGUAGAGGACGUGCUCUGGCUUCACGGCUGGACGCGGAGUCUACGUGGUUACUUUGAAAAAAUUAGAGUGCUCAAAGCGGGCUUACGCUUGAAUAUUUCAGCAUGGAAUAACACUAUAGGACUCCUGUCCUAUUUCGUUGGUCUCGGGACGGGAGUAAUGAUUAAGAGGAACAGUUGGGGGCAUUCGUAUUUCAUUGUCAGAGGUGAAAUUCUUGGAUUUAUGAAAGACGAACUUCUGCGAAAGCAUUUGCCAAGGAUGUUUUCAUUAA